rnacentral:rRNA from 1 species
UACGUAGGGGGCAAGCGUUUGUCCGGAAUCAUUGGGCGUAAAGAGCGUGUAGGCGGCCAGAUAAGUCCGCUGUGAAAUCUCGAGGCUCAACUUCGAGCUGUCGGUGGAAACUGUCUGGCUAGAGUCCGGAAGAGGAGAAUGGAAUUCCUGGUGUAGCGGUGAAAUGCGCAGAUAUCAGGAAGAACACCAGUGGCGAAGGCGGCUCACUGGCCCGUAACUGACGCUGAGGCACGAAAGCGUGGGGAGCAAACAGG